UGGGGGAAUAUUGCACAAUGGGCGCAAGCCUGAUGCAGCGAUGCCGCGUGAGGGAAGAAGGUUUUCGGAUUGUAAACCUCUGUCAUCAGGGACGAAAAAAGACGGUACCUGAGAAGGAAGCUCCGGCUAACUACGUGCCAGCAGCCGCGGUAAAACGUAGGGUGCAAGCGUUGUCCGGAAUUACUGGGUGUAAAGGGAGCGCAGGCGGGAAGACAAGUUGGAAGUGAAAACCAUGGGCUCAACCCAUGAAUUGCUUUCAAAACUGUUUUUCUUGAGUAGUGCAGAGGUAGAUGGAAUUCCCGGUGUAGCGGUGGAAUGCGUAGAUAUCGGGAGGAACACCAGUGGCGAAGGCGGUCUACUGGGCACCAACUGACGCUGAGGCUCGAAAGCAUGGGUAGCAAACAGGAUUAGAUACCCUGGUAGU
rnacentral:rRNA from 1 species